rnacentral:rRNA from 1 species
UACGUAGGGCGCAAGCGUUGUCCGGAAUUAUUGGGCGUAAAGAGCUCGUAGGCGGUUUGUCGCGUCUGGUGUGAAAACUCGAGGCUCAACCUCGAGCUUGCAUCGGGUACGGGCAGACUAGAGUGCGGUAGGGGAGACUGGAAUUCCUGGUGUAGCGGUGGAAUGCGCAGAUAUCAGGAGGAACACCGAUGGCGAAGGCAGGUCUCUGGGCCACUACUGACGCUGAGAAGCGAAAGCGUGGGGAGCGAACAGG